AAGUGCUGGGAUUACAGGCAUGAGCCACUGUGCCCGGCCUAUUAUUACCACUUUAUAUGUGAAGAAACGGAGGCUCCUAGUUGUCAAGGAACUUUUUAAGGUUGCAAAGGGAUUAGCUAGGACAAUUUUAAACUAUUUGGAAAAAUAAUUGAUUGGAAACUCCUCUUUUUUUAUGUCUCAGAAAAAAAAUAAGUUGCAAAAUAUUAAGCUAAGUUUUAGAACCAGUUAGGUAUAAACAUUUUCAGAGAAGAGAGUGAACAAGUUGCGUUCUAAGAAUAGAGUUCAUCAAGGAAAUAGGCUUAGGGUUGGAAUCUCAGUAGAUGUUA